rnacentral:rRNA from 1 species
CCUACGGGAGGCUGCAGUGAGGAAUAUUGGUCAAUGGACGAGAGUCUGAACCAGCCAAGUAGCGUGAAGGAUGACUGCCCUAUGGGUUGUAAACUUCUUUUAUAUGGGAAUAAAAUGUUUCACGUGUGGGAUUUUGUAUGUACCAUAUGAAUAAGGAUCGGCUAACUCCGUGCCAGCAGCCGCGGUAAUACGGAGGAUCCGAGCGUUAUCCGGAUUUUUUGGGUUUAAAGGGAGCGUAGGUGGAUUGUUAAGUCAGUUGUGAAAGUUUGCGGCUCAACCGUAAAAUUGCAGUUGAAACUGGCAGUCUUGAGUACAGUAGAGGUGGGCGGAAUUCGUGGUGUAGCGGUGAAAUGCUUAGAUAUCACGAAGAACUCCGAUUGCGAAGGCAGCUCACUGGACUGCAACUGACACUGAGGCUCGAAAGUGUGGGUAUCAAACAGGAUUAGAUACCCUUGUAGUC